rnacentral:rRNA from 1 species
UACGUAGGGUGCAAGCGUUAAUCGGAAUUACUGGGCGUAAAGCGUGCGCAGGCGGUUUUGUAAGUCUGACGUGAAAUCCCCGGGCUCAACCUGGGAAUUGCGUUGGAGACUGCGAGGCUAGAAUCUGGCAGAGGGGGGUAGAAUUCCACGUGUAGCAGUGAAAUGCGUAGAGAUGUGGAGGAACACCGAUGGCGAAGGCAGCCCCCUGGGUCAAGAUUGACGCUCAUGCACGAAAGCGUGGGGAGCAAACAGG